CGCUUGCCCGGUGCCGGAAGGUCAAGGAAGUAGGUCAUGGGGAGCAAUCCCUAGAAGCUUGCAACCUAAGCCCCGGUAAACGGCGGCCGUAACUAUGACGGUCCUAUGGUAGCGAAGUUCCUUGUCGGGUAAGUUCCGACGUGCAUGAAUAGCGUAACGACUGGAGCAGUGUCUCGAGAACGGACUCGGUGAAAUUACAGACGCGGUGAAGAUGCCGUGUUCCCGCGGCAAGACGGAAAGACCCCGUGAACCUUUACUGUAGCCUGGUAUUGGUGUUUCAUGUCACUUGCGUAGGAUAGGUGGGAGGCGUUGAUCCGGUGGUUCCGGCCAUCGGGGAGCCAACGUUGAAAUACCACCCUUGUGCCAUGAACCCCCUAACCCCGACCCGUGAAUCCGGGCGGGGGACCGUGCUAGGUGGGCAGUUUGACUGGGGCGGUCUCCUCCCAAAGAGUAACGGAGGAGUCCAAAGGCGUCCUCAGCACGGUUGGCAAUCGUGCGUCGAGUGCAAGGGCAUAAGGACGCUUAACUGCGAGACCUAUAAGUCGAGCAGAUGUGAAAGCAGGGCCUAGUGACCCGGUGGUUCCGUGUGGAAGGGCCAUCGCUUAACAGAUAAAAGGUACUCCGGGGAUAACAGGCUGAUCGCCUCCGAGCGUUCAUAGCGGCGAGGCGGUUUGGCACCUCGAUGUCGGCUCAUCACAUCCUGGGGCUGAAGGCGGUCCCAAGGGUUCGGCUGUUCGCCGAUUAAAGUGGUACGUGAGCUGGGUUCAGACCGGCGUGAGCCAGGUCGGUCCCUAUCUGCCGUGGGCGUAGGAAUCUUGAAGGGAGUCUUCCUCAGUACGAGAGGACCUGGAAGGACCAACCUCUGGUGAACCAGUUGUCCCGCUAGGGGCAUCGCUGGGUAGCUACGUUGGGAACGGAUAACCGCUGAAGGCAUCUAAGCGGGAAGCCAACCCUAAGAUAAGGAUUCCAUGUGGCCUUCGGGCCACGAGAGCCCCCAUCUAGACCAGGUGGUUGAUAGGCCGGAGGUGUAAGUCCCGAAAGGGAUUGAGCUGACCGGUACUAACGGGCAAAUGCUUGAUCAC
rnacentral:rRNA from 1 species